UCGAACGUUGCUGCCUCCAAUGCCAAGCUGGCUCUCUUCUACGAUUGGCUGUUCUUCAACCCUGAGAAAGACAGCAUCAUGAACAUAGAGCCGGCCAUCCUAGUGAUGCAUCACUCCAUGAAGCCUCAUCCAGCCAUCACCGCCACACUGCUGGACUUCAUGUGCAGGAUCAUCCCUCACUUCUUCCCUCCUCUGGAGUCUCAGGUCCGUCAGGGCGUCUUCAACUCGCUCACGUUCAUCAUGGAGAAGAGAGUGCUGGCGUGAGAAGUGCACACACACACACACACACACACACACACA